AUAAAAUUAAAAAAAAAAACUUUUUGACCCAGUAAAGUUUGUUCUCUAUUUUUUAGGAAUUAAUUUUAUUUUUAUUUUUUAACGUUACUUGCUUGCUACUUUUAAAGAAUAGUAGUCUAAUAUCUCUUAUUAGUAUAUUAAAAUUAGGGAUUUUUUUAUCAUUGAAAAAACACAUUUUUUUUGUUCAUGAAUCACCCAUUAUCG
rnacentral:misc_RNA from 1 species